rnacentral:tRNA from 1 species
UCCCAUGGUGGGAUAGCUCAGUUGGUAAAGCACGAGACGUGGGUUCGAGUCCCACACUGGGCA